rnacentral:rRNA from 1 species
GAGCAGCACGCCCGCGUGAGGGAUGAGGGCUUUUGCUCGUAAACCUCUGUAGUGAGGGAAAAAAUUUCCAUUCUAUGGAAUAUGAUGGUACCUCAAAAGUAAGCCCCGGCUAACUACGUGCCAGCAGCCGCGGUAAUACGUAGGGGGCAAACGUUGUCCGGAUUUACUGGGUGUAAAGGGUGCUCAGGCGGUUUUGUAAGUCAGAAGUGAAAUCCUAGGGCUUAACUCUGGAACUGCUUUUGAUACUGCAAGGCUUGAAUGUGGAAGAGGAGGAUGGAAUUUCUGGUGUAGCAGUGAAAUGCGUAGAUAUCAGAAAGAACACCAGUGGCGAAGGCGGUCCUCUGGUCCACUAUUGACGCUAAAGCACGAAAGCGUGGGGAGCAAACAGGAUUAGAUACCCUGGUAGUCCACGCCUUAAACGAUGAAUACUAGACGUUGGGGUUAAACUCAGUGUCGCAGCUAACGCAUUAAGUAUUCCACCUGGGGA